UGUACAUGAUGAAUCCAAUUGCGGAAUCCGAUUUUAAUGUGCGGAUACACCUUGGAGAACUGAGCACUCA